AGAGUUUGAUCAUGGCUCAGGAUGAACGCUAGCUACAGGCUUAACACAUGCAAGUCGAGCGGAAUGCUUCGGGCAUUUAGCGGCAGACGGGUGAGUAACACGUAUCCAACCUUUCCCUUACUCGGGUAUAGCCUCGGGAAACUGAGAGUAAUCCCCGAUGCAGUGUACGAACAGCAUUAUUUGCACACUAAAGAUUUAUCGGUAAGGGUGGGGAUGCGUUCCAUUAGGUAGUAGGCGGGGUAACGCCCACCUAGCCGAUGAUGGAUAGGGGUUCUGAGAGGAAGGUCCCCCACAUUGGAACUGCGACACGGUCCAAACUCCUACGGGAGGCAGCAGUGAGGAAUAUUGGUCAAUGGUCGAAGGACUGAACCAGCCAAGUAGCGUGCAGGAUGACGGCCCUAUGGGUUGUAAACUGCUUUUGUGCGGGAAUAACGGUCUCCACGUGUGGAGAUGUGCAUGUACCGUACGAAUAAGGAUCGGCUAACUCCGUGCCAGCCGCUGC
rnacentral:rRNA from 1 species